GGCACGCCUAACACAUGCAAGUCGAACGAAGUAGCAAUACUUAGUGGCAGACGGGUGAGUAACAUGUGGGUAUCUACCCUUUGGCCUGGAAUAACACGAGGAAACUUGUGCUAAUACUGGAUAAGUCUUCACGGAGAAAGCUUUAUGCACCAUUGGAUGAGCCCGCACUUGAUUAGUUUGUUGGUAGGGUAAUGGCCUACCAAGACUUUGAUCAAUAGCUGAUUUGAGAGGAUGAUCAGCCACAUUGGGACUGAGACACGGCCCAAACUCCUACGGGAGGCAGCAGUGGGGAAUCUUGCACAAUGGAGGAAACUCUGAUGCAGCGAUGCCGCGUGAGUGAAGAAGGCCCUUGGGUUGUAAAGCUCUUUCGUCGGGGAAGAAAAUGACUGUACCCGAAUAAGAAGGUCCGGCUAACUUCGUGCCAGCAGCCGCGGUAAUACGAAGGGACCUAGCGUAGUUCGGAAUUACUGGGCUUAAAGAGUUCGUAGGUGGUUGAAAAAGUUGGUGGUGAAAUCCCAGAGCUUAACUCUGGAACUGCCAUCAAAACUUUUCAGCUAGAGUUUGAUAGAGGAAAGCAGAAUUUCUAGUGUAGAGGUGAAAUUCGUAGAUAUUAGAAAGAAUACCAAUUGCGAAGGCAGCUUUCUGGAUCAUUACUGACGCUGAGGAACGAAAGCAUGGGUAGCGAAGAGGAUUAGAUACCCUCGUAGUCCAUGCUGUAAACGAUGUGUGUUAGACGUUGGAAAUUUAUUUUCAGUGUCGCAGCGAAAGCGAUAAACACACCGCCUGGGGAGUACG
rnacentral:rRNA from 1 species